rnacentral:misc_RNA from 1 species
GAACUAACAAGCCUGCAAAUCCCAGUACAAUAAAUUUAAAACUUCAACAGGAGAAUUAUGAGGCAGGUGUUCUCUCAUGUCAGAAUCAACAGCCAAAUUAGCAAGCAUAUCAAUUACCUUGUUCGCUUCUUUGGCGAUGCUUCAGCUCCACAUGCCCAGAUGAUUCAAUAAGGAAAGAGUUUACCUUUCUUUAAUAUUAGACCACUUGUAAAUAUAUUUAAAUAUAAAUUUCACGUUUUAGAUAUUUAUAUUUGAACUUGAUGAGUAUAUUAUCCCGCAUUAAUUUGAAAUAAAGUAAUUAUAAUAGAUAUAAGACUUAGACAAAUCGUUUUUUUCGAAUUAAUUUUUGAGGUAGAGAUAAGGCUCAGUUCAACACAUUUUCACAAAAUUAUUAUUCCGUUUUUGCUCUCCUGGUGGAAACAUACUC